rnacentral:rRNA from 1 species
GUCCUUCAGCUGGACAAAAUUUACUCUGACAUCUGACCUCAAAUCAGGUAGGACUACC